UACGGAGGGUGCGAGCGUUAAUCGGAAUAACUGGGCGUAAAGGGCGCGCAGGCGGGCUUUUAAGUGAGAUGUGAAAUCCCCGGGCUUAACCUGGGAAUAGCAUUUGAGACUGGGAGUCUAGAGUGCUUUAGGGAGGGGUAGAAUUCCACGUGUAGCGGUGAAAUGCGUAGAUAUGUGGAGGAAGACCGAAGGCGAAGGCAGCCCCGUGGGAAGGUACUGACGCUGAGGUGCGAAAGCGUGGGGAGCAAACAGG
rnacentral:rRNA from 1 species